rnacentral:rRNA from 1 species
UACGUAGGGGGCAAGCGUUGUCCGGAUUUAUUGGGCGUAAAGAGCUCGUAGGCGGCCUGUUGCGUCCGCUGUGAAAGCCCGGGGCUUAACCCCGGGUCGGCAGUGGAUACGGGCAGGCUAGAGGUAGGUAGGGGAGAAUGAAAUUCCCGGUGUAGCGGUGAAAUGCGCAGAUAUCGGGAGGAACACCGGUGGCGAAGGCGGUUCUCUGGGCCUUACCUGACGCUGAGGAGCGAAAGCGUGGGGAGCGAACAGG